rnacentral:rRNA from 1 species
AGGACGAACGCUGGCGGCGUGCUUAACACAUGCAAGUGGAGCGACGAACCAGGGCUUGCCCUGGGGCAGAGCCGCGAACGGGUGAGUAACACGUGGGUUACCUGCCUUGAUGACCGGGACAACCCGAGGAAACUCGGGCUAAUACCGGAUGUGCCCGCAAGGGGAAAGGAAGCUUCGGCCUCCGCAUCAAGAUGGGCCCGCGGCCCAUUAGCUAGUUGGUGAGGUAACGGCUCACCAAGGCUUCGAUGGGUAGCUGGUCUGAGAGGACGAUCAGCCACACUGGGACUGAGACACGGCCCAGACUCCUACGGGAGGCAGCAGUGGGGAAUCUUGCGCAAUGCGCGAAAGCGUGACGCAGCAACGCCGCGUGGGGGAAGAAGGCUUUCGGGUUGUAAACCCUUUCAGUUGGGACGAAGCUUCUCCGGUGAAUAGCCGGACGGGGUGACGGUACCUUCACAAGAAGCACCGGCUAACUACGUGCCAGCAGCCGC